rnacentral:rRNA from 1 species
AUUGAACGCUGGCGGCAGGCCUAACACAUGCAAGUCGAGCGAGCGGAGGACGGGUGAGUAAUGUCUGGGAAACUGCCUGAUGGAGGGGUAUAACUACUGGAAACGGUAGCUAAUACCGCAUACUAUCGGAUGUGCCCAGAUGGCCUUCGCUAGUAGGUGGGGUAAUGGCUCACGUAGGCGCCGAUGCCUAGCUGGUCUGAGAGGAUGACAAGGCACACGGGAACUGUGGCACGGUCCAGACUCCUACGGUAGGCAGCAGUGGGGAAGAUUGCACAAUGGGCGCAAGCCUGAUGCAGCCAUGCAGCGUGUGUGAAGAAGGCCUUCGGGUUGUAAGGCACUUUCAGCGGGGAGGCGUUACCCGCAGAAGAAGCACCGGCUAACUCCGUGCCAGCAGCCGCGGUAAUUC